AUAAAUAAUGGGUCCAAAUCUGAUUGAAGCACUUGUUAGUCUCGACAAUAUCAAACAUGAAGCUGUUCCUUGGAGUGUGCUUGGCUUUGGCCGUCGCCGUAUCGGCAGUGGAGAUCGCCACUCCUGACGCCGACAGCCCUGUCUUCGGCUACCACGCCAAGUUUGGUAUUGCUGAGGCUGCGAGGAUCAAGAGCGCGGAAGAAGUUCAGAGCUUCAACGGCCAGAGGAUCGUUGGAGGAUCCAUCACCAACAUUGCCAACGUCCCAUACCAGGCUGGUCUUGUGAUCACCAUCUUCAUCUUCCAAUCCGUGUGCGGUGCUUCCCUCAUCUCCCACAACCGCCUGGUGACUGCUGCUCACUGCAAGUCAGAUGGUGUCUUGACCGCUAACUCCUUCACCGUUGUGCUUGGCUCCAACACCCUGUUCUUCGGCGGUACUCGUAUCAACACCAACGAUGUCGUCAUGCACCCCAACUGGAACCCCAAUACUGCUGCCAAUGACAUCGCUGUCCUGCGCAUCAGCUCCGUCAGCUUCAGUAACGUGAUCCAGCCCAUCGCUCUUCCUAGUGGAGCUGAACUCAACAACCUCUUCGUCGGCGCCAACGCUCUUGCCUCCGGAUUUGGCCGCACUAGCGACAGUGGCAGUAUCGGUACCAACCAACAGCUGAGCUCUGUGACCAUCCCCGUGAUCACCAACGCUCAGUGCGCCGCCGUAUAUGGCUCUGGGUUCGUGCACGCUUCCAACAUUUGCACCAGCGGCGCCGGCGGCAAGGGUACUUGCAACGGUGACUCCGGUGGCCCUCUCGCUGUCGACAGCAACAACAGGAAGAUCUUGGUAAGAUAUUCUUUGCAAAUGACGAUUUCUUAAUCUGCAGCAUAAAUGGUAAAACAAGUGAAAGAUUUCUGUGAAUGCAAUUAAGCUAUCAGGAAAGAAAGAACUUUUAGUCUAAAGUUUCACUACAAAAGAAUAGCUCAAUUUUCAAGAAGUGACCAGUAGUGUAAUGUUAUUAUCUUUUAUAAUAUUUAUCAAUUCCAUACAGAUCGGUGUUACCUCAUACGGUGCCCAGGCUGGUUGCGCCGCUGGUUUCCCUGCAGCCUUCGCGAGAGU
rnacentral:misc_RNA from 1 species